rnacentral:lncRNA from 1 species
AUGGGGGCUGGGGGGAGGGGAAGGGAAAGGGAUCCCUGCUGGAAACCCCUGACGCUCACACACCGGUACGUUCUCUCGGCGGGCGGGCAGGUAAUCGCGGGCGAACGACCUGCUGCGCCCCAGCGUGGGCAAAAGCGCGGGACUGGAGCUUUUGCAGGGCGGAGCGCGCGCACUUGUCCUUGUCUGUCUUCCUUCCUUCCUUCCUUCCUUCCUUCCUUCCUUCCUUCCCCGGGGCUGGGCAGGCGGCGCUGCGAAGCAGCUCUUGCUGGGGGGGGGGCACCUUCGCCAACGCUGCUGCAGUCGGCGGCCUCGCUCGGCCGCGGCGAGCGCCAGGGGCGCCAAGAAGAACCAAAGGCCGAGAAGGAGAAGAGCCGCCGCCGCCGGGGUUCCGCCGGGCGAGAGCGGCCACGAGGCGCCCCUUUGGCUCCGCGUCCAAACAGCCGCGCUGUGCCGCCGGCGCGGCGGAGUCGCUCUCCGCUCGCCCGCUCGCUGCGAACGGCGGCGUCUCCGCCCCUUUCGACACCCGACCCGCCUCCCUCCUGCUGGCGACCGUGUGAAGCGAGCGGGGCAGCCGCGGCGGGCAGCGAGGCGAGAGGAGGCGGACGAUCCAGACGACGGGGCGGCGGGAGGCAGAGAGCGACGGCGCUUCGAGCGGAAGGGACGCGAAGAGGCGAGCGGGCGGCAUGAAUACUCCUCUUGUAUGCCGCUUGGAGCGUCUUUUUGGUUAGACAUCAGUUAAGCCAUUGUCUCUGGAUUUUGUGGUCUCCUGGUCGUGUUUGUCUACUGCCCUGGGACUCUGGUGAACAGAACGUGCGAUUCUCUCUACCUCUGUAAACAGCUAAAAAUGCUAAAGGCCAUGGAGGAGUGAAGAUAAGACUUCUGAAGAGAGCUACAAAUGCUUAAGUUAUAAUGGUCUACUAUCGUCUUGUGGAAGU